CUUGUCUCUGCCAGCUAGUUUAAGGGAGAGCAAGUUUAAAGCAGGGGUUUGCACUCUGGAGCAUCUACCUGUCCCAUCGGUAACUGUGGCUGUGACUCACAGAACAAGGUACAGAAGACAUUUCUGCAGAUGUGUUCACAGUCUGAAGUAUUCCACAGGACCUUCCAAUUAAGUAGACUACUUCUGAGAAUAGCUUUUACUCAUGAUGUAGGAAGCAUUAAAAAGAGGUAUCAAGACAGUUCUCUCAAUUAUUUAUUCAAAACCUAACAGUGGUUUGUAGCAGGAACAUGCUUCUUACUCUCAGUUCCAACCAGUCCAAACUAUGCAUGAAAGCUUAUACCUGUCUGAUAAUUUGACAGAUUUCACACAUAGAAAUACAACAUUUUAUUGAA